GACGAACGCUGGCGGCGUGCCUAAUACAUGCAAGUCGAGCGGACCACUUCGGUGGUCAGCGGCGGACGGGUGAGUAACACGUGGGCAACCUGCCUGUAAGACUGGGAUAACUCCGGGAAACCGGGGCUAAUACCGGAUAAUCCUUCGGACCUCAUGGUCCAAAGCUGAAAGACGGUUUUUGCUGUCACUUACAGAUGGGCCCGCGGCGCAUUGGCUAGUUGGUGAGGUAACGGCUCACCAAGGCGACGAUGCGGAGCCGACCUGAGAGGGUGAUCGGCCACACUGGGACUGAGACACGGCCCAGACUCCUACGGGAGGCAGCAGUAGGGAAUCUUCCGCAAUGGACGAAAGUCUGACGGAGCAACGCCGCGUGAGCGAAGAAGGUUUUCGGAUCGUAAGCUCUGUUGUCAGGGAAGAACAAGUGCGAGAGUAACUGCUCGCACCUUGACGGUACCUGACCAGAAAGCCACGGCUAACUACGUGCCAGCCGCCGCAGUAAGAC
rnacentral:rRNA from 1 species